UCUCUUACCCAUGUCUUUUGAGUACUUACGUUUCCUCGGCGGGUUCGCCCGCCGAUUGGACAAUUUAAACCCUUUGCAGUUGCAAUCAGCGUCUGAAAAACAUAAUAGUUACAACUUUCAACAACGGAUCUCUUGGUUCUGGCAUCGAUGAAGAACGCAGCGAAAUGCGAUAAGUAGUGUGAAUUGCAGAAUUCAGUGAAUCAUCGAAUCUUUGAACGCACAUUGCGCCCCUUGGUAUUCCAUGGGGCAUGCCUGUUCGAGCGUCAUUUGUACCUUCAAGCAUUGCUUGGUGUUGGGUGUUUGUCUCGCCUUUGCGUGUAGACUCGCCUUAAAACAAUUGGCAGCCGGCGUAUUGAUUUCGGAGCGCAGUACAUCUCGCGCUUUGCACUCAUAACGACGACGUCCAAAAGUACAUUUUAACACUCUUGACCUCGGAUCAGGUAGGGAUACCCGCUGAACUUAAGCAUAUCAAUA
rnacentral:rRNA from 1 species